GAGGGUCUGGGGGAGGGGAGAAGGGGGAGGGUCCCGCGCUCUCCUUCCCCGGGUUCUGCGUCCACGUAGGUCUCCUCCAGCCAAGGGUCUGCGCGCCCCCUCCUCUUCUCAGACUCCUCUGGCCUCGCCCCUCCUUCUCACAUUCCCAACUCCCAAGGACAACUUGUCGCUUCAGAAAUCCGGGGCUUCUUUCUGUCCCCCAGACUCUUUCUCCCCUACUUCUUUUGUCUAUUUCUGCAUUUGACGGCUUCUCUGGGAAGCGUUCCCCGCAUCUCCUCUCUUGUCCGUUCUCUCUCUCUCUCUCUCUCUCUCUCUCUCUCUCUCUCUCUCUCUCUCUCACACACACACACACACACACACACACACACACACACACACGAGUCUGUCUGUCGGCCAUCUCGGCGCCUGUCCUCCGCGGCUCUGGCCUUUCGGAGGGCGCAAGGCCCACUCUUGGAGCUGCCCCGCGGUCCUCCGACGGCGCCCCAGGAAGGGGGCAGAGGGCGCCAAAGGCGACGCGCCUGCGGCCCGCUCCAGGCCAAGCCCAGUGCGUCUGCGGGAAUCGGCCCCUUCCCCACCGCGGGACCCCGAGCUGCGCGAGGACUCAACGCCAGGGCGCCGCCUAGAGGUCGGCCGCGGCCUCAGCCUCACCGGCCCGCGACCGCAGAGCUGCUUCCCCAGCGGCGGCCAGAAAUCAGGGAACAAAAAAUCCAGCCUGGGUCUCAGGGAUGCGGCUUCCGGCACCUCUGACUACUCUGAAACCCACCCCUCCAACGUAAUGAGCCGUAGAAAGGGAGACAGGAGAAGAAGAAGGCCCAGAAAUAUUUAUUCUCCUUGUGACUCUAACUAAAUGCAAGGGGGUCUCAAUUUCGGCUUCUUUGAGGACCCCGUGUUCUGCAUCUGUGUCUGGACUGCCUCCUCUCACCAUCCAAUGCCCAGUCGCCUCCAAUUAUGCCAGAACUCUGCUUUAGCUUCGAGGAGGCCCAAGAGUAGGGAAGAGUUGCCUCUAAAUCUUACAGCGUGGUCAUCUACAUUUUCAAUUCUGAAUAAUUUGGAGAUCGACGUGCUUUGGGGAGAGUAUUCAGAAAACAUCUGAGGGUGAAGAGAAACAUUGCCUAAAUGGCCUCUACUCACUGAGUGGCCAUUAGCUCAACUAGUGUCUGAAUGGCAUUCAGGAGGGUGCCUAUUGGCACGAGCGCCCCUGUUGGUGGCUGUCUGUGUUGGGCAUUGAAAGUUGACUCUCUCAGGCCAGGCAACCUGAGAAUGAGAAGGCUGGCUGGCAUCUGUAGGAAUGCAUUUGAGGUGUCCAUUCAGCCCCAUGCAGAGAGUUUUAUUUUUUAAACUGGGAUCCAUGGCCUGGGUUCUGGGGAUGGGUGGGGGAGAUAGAAAGCCCUUGAAAAGUGUCUGCAAAAUUUGUGUGUGCACAGAUCAAUCUGUUCUAUGGCUGUGGCCUCUUCAGCUUUUCCAGAGUCUAAGACUCUAAAAUGGUUCAAUCUCCUUUCCUCGGUCCAAAGAAUCACGAGACCCAGGUCAGCGAUGGGCAGGGAGACAGCAACGGACCUGCCCCGACUGCAGGCCUCUAGAGUGGGGCAGAGUGUGUGGGUAAUAACAGUCUUGAAUGGUGUGGAAACUGCUGGUCCCUGAGUCCUGCCCUCCGCCCUUUGCUAACAGAUCCCAGAGGCAAAUCCUGACAGGAGGGGUGACUGCCAGUAGCUGCCAUCACAGUAUUUUUAAUAAAAAUAUAGUAUGAUAAAGAGUGAAAUAAGGGAGUUUGGGCACAUAAUAAGGAAGGAGCUGGAGAUGCCUCCUCAUGCAUAUCCUGCAAUAUGAAUAUCGGGAUGGAAACGAGCUACUUCCUGUCCUCCAGCUGUUAAUGAGCUCCCCCCUUCCUCCUCCUGGGUGCAAGGAAGGAGCCAGAGGGCACUGCGCCCAUCCCCCACUGGCUGGGGCUGAGUGGGCCUGCCUUUCAGAAAAUUUGCGAACCGCAGAUCAUUCCAUUUUUUAUAACUUUAUUUUUAAAAUUGUCUUUUUCCUUUUUUAAAAAAAUGUAAUCCCUAUGGCCAACGUGGGGCUCAAACGCACAACCCUGAGCUCAAGAGCCGCAUGCUCUAAGGACUGAGCCGACCACGUGCCCCCAUUUUUUAUCACUUAAAAAAACAAGUCCCCAGAAGUGUUCUGGGGCCUUUUCUUGGAAGGAGGGCUGGGCGUGGAGUUGGCGGGUCACACAGGGCUGCACCUGUGUGUGUCUGUGGGAAGGAGGGAAUGUCAGCGCGCCAAACCCCCACCUGCGCCCGCAGCCGGGCCUCAGUCCCGCACCCCAGGCCUCACUGAACCUGAGUUCAUCUUAGCCCUCCAGCGCCUUUUAGACCUGAAUCUUUGGUAUUUUUUUGGUGAAUAACCAUGAGUCAUGAUCAAAAUUCCUUUGCUCUCCCGCUCAGAAGUGCACCUACCCAGGGCCCUCCAAGCAGACAAAGUGAGCAGGAAAUCAACAGCUACACUCCCAAUUAUCUGGAGCCCACAACCAAAAGGGAUUUUCCUUGGUUUUGAUUCACAAAGGCCUGAUAGCGAUUCCAAAUCCGGAUUCCACAAAGUUUGGUAAAAACAAAAACAAAAACAACAACAACAAAAAAAACCCAAAAUAAGGACAGAAACAAAACAAGAGCAACCACAACAAACGGUCCAGAACAGAAGAGAACUGUGGAGAGGGCAGUGGAGGUGAGGCAGAGGUUUUUGUCUGACUUGGAGGCUCUGAGGGAGCCGGACAGGAGCCGGUGGGCACCCUCUUGGCAGAGGCCAAUCUGGACGCUCCUCAGCGCUGGCCGUCACCUCCACUCUGGCCAAGAGCAGCCUCUCGGUUUCUCCUCUGGGAGCCCCUGCCCCGCUCAGCCCCUUCAGGCCUUCUGACCCUUUCUCCCCUUCCAGCAAGUACCUGGCCAUACAGGGGUGGGGCAGGGCAAAGGUCGGGCAGAUAGAGACGCUGAAAGAAAAAGCAAAAAACCCGCUUUCGGCGGAAAGAUGCAAAGACCGGAGGCCACAGGGCGUGGCGGGCAGAGCCCGGGCUGUAGCAGGAAGGACGCGGCGUCUAACUCGGCUCUGGAGCCGGGCCGAGGCUGUGGGUGGAGGCUCGGUGAGUCGUCAGGCCAGGCGGUGGCCUCCAGUCCUGGCCGCCGCCCGGGCGAGUCCUGCGAGAAGAGUCCCCGGCGGCGGGCACGGCCGAGGCAAAGUCCCGGGGGCCGGAGACCGAGGCUGCUUCUCCCCACGCGGACGCAGUCCGCUCGGGCGAAAGAAAGGGGCCGAGGCGGCUGCUUCUGCGGCUCGUAAAUUUGUUCCUCCUUACUUUUAACCCGCCCCCCCCUCCGGCCGUCUUUCUUUUCAGGACAGGAGGGGACGUAAACCAUUUGAAGUUCAUCAACACGGCGAAGUUUUAUUGUAUUUCCGGUCCCCAAGAUUUAUACCCGGGAGGGGGAGCGGGCGGCCAGGCAGACUCCUGCCCUCCCUCGGACUUCCCCGGCGGACACGUGGCCACUCGGACCCUCGCCUCCGGGGCCGGGGCGGGAGGGAGCCGGGCCCGGACCGGGACAGGCCGCUGGCUGCGCACCUUCCGCACCUUCCGACGGCCGCUCCCGCCCCGCGCCGCCGCCGCCGCCGCCCAGGUGAGUCCGCCGCCUCUGCCCGCGGGGCCGCCCGCCUGCUGCGGGGUGUGUGCGUGAGCACCUGCGACGCUGCGGGUGUCUGGAGGGGGGAGAGGUGGCAGGAGGGGACAUCGGUGGGGGCGGGGAGCGAAGGGCUCAGGCUGAAGGUCAGGAAGGAAGAUGCAAACUUGCUCUCUGCGUCCCAAUCUGAGUCCUCAGCCUCUCGGGUUCGUUUAUGAACUCGGAACGCACGGUCUUACCUGGGACAGCUCAGCCUCUGCAGAGCCAGCCCCACCGCCCCCCCCCCCCCCAGGACGCUUCUGGCAGGGCGACUUCACAGCGACUCUUCAGGUCAGCCCGCUUCCCCUGCCAGUCAUAUUCUUCUGUUUGCUCCCUAGUUUUCCUGGUACUUUCUCACACUCUGCUUUUCCAUCUAUGUCCCCUGCAGACACUUUCUCAGCACUCCCCUCCACUCUCUGUCUAUACUGCAGUCUCAAAGCAGAGCUGCCCUGAGUGACCCUGGAAUACAGGCACUAGCCCGCCGGCAAGUGUAGACGCACCUUGAUUACAAUUUGAAGGUGAGAAAUCUUAUCUGGGGAGACCUCCAGCUGCAGAGACGGAGGCCGAGGUGGUGACCAGGCAGGUGUAUUGCUGAGGCCUUGCCCAGCCCUGGCGCUGGGCCUAGUGUCCCCAUCCAUCAGGGCUCCUGGAAGAGAGCAGAAGUCCCUGGAAUCUGAGCUGCCAGGCCCAG
rnacentral:lncRNA from 1 species